GGAAUCAAUGUGCUCACGAAAGGCAAACUUUCGUGGAAUUACUCCUUUGCCUCGGCAACAUCCAAGGUGUUCUAGAUUACCUUGUGCCAUAGUCAGCUCAUCCUUCUCUCAAUCAGGCACGAAAGAUCCUUCAGUUGUAGCCUUUAUUAACUCAACAAGCCUCGUAGCCGCUUCUCUUAAUUCUUGGCCGAACACAAAUGAUCCAUCUUCAGGAUUGAGCGUGCCACCAUGAGCAUAAUAUCAAUGAUUUGCUUGCUCCGACCAUUCGAGAGUCGCCGGUACUAUUCCCUUAGCAAUUAUGUCGUCUUACAUCCUCUGCCAUUUGAUGAUCCUCUUCUUGUAACCUCCUGG
rnacentral:lncRNA from 1 species